UACGAAGGGGGCUAGCGUUGUUCGGAAUUACCGGGCGUAAAGCGCACGUAGGCGGACAUUUAAGUCAGGGGUGAAAUCCCAGAGCUCAACUCUGGAACUGCCUUUGAUACUGGGUGUCUAGAGUAUGGAAGAGGUGAGUGGAAUUCCGAGUGUAGAGGUGAAAUUCGUAGAUAUUCGGAGGAACACCAGUGGCGAAGGCGGCUCACUGGUCCAUUACUGACGCUGAGGUGCGAAAGCGUGGGGAGCAAACAGG
rnacentral:rRNA from 1 species